rnacentral:rRNA from 1 species
GUGGGGAAUAUUGGACAAUGGGCGCAAGCCUGAUCCAGCCAUGCCGCGUGAGUGAUGAAGGCCUUAGGGUUGUAAAGCUCUUUCACCGAUGAAGAUAAUGACGGUAACCGGAGAAGAAGCCCCGGCUAACUUCGUGCCAGCAGCCGCGGUAAUACGAAGGGGGCUAGCGUUGUUCGGAAUUACUGGGCGUAAAGCGCACGUAGGCGGGUAUUUAAGUCAGGGGUGAAAUCCCAGAGCUCAACUCUGGAACUGCCUUUGAUACUGGCAAUCUCGAGUCCGGAAGAGGUAAGUGGAACUGCGAGUGUAGAGGUGAAAUUCGUAGAUAUUCGCAAGAACACCAGUGGCGAAGGCGGCUUACUGGUCCGGUACUGACGCUGAGGUGCGAAAGCGUGGGGAGCAAACAGGAUUAGAUACCCUGUAGUCC